rnacentral:tRNA from 1 species
GGUGGUGUAGCUCAGUCGUAGAGAGUGUGCUUCCCGUGCAUGGAUUUUCUGGUUCAAUCCCUGGCACCUUCU